GUCCUGGGUAGCCUAGUGGACAUGGCACCUGCCGGGUAAGCAGAAGGUUGUGGGUUCGAUUCCUGCCCCUGGACA
rnacentral:tRNA from 1 species